rnacentral:lncRNA from 1 species
UCCUUUUACAAAAUACUUAAAAUAACAAAAACUUGGGAAAAUUGCUAACCCUUUACUCUCUCUCUCUCUCUCUCUCUCCCUCCCUAAUAUGCUCAAACAAUGAAGUCAUGGGCCAUCUGAUCUUGCUCUAAUUGAUCAUAGAUGAUCCGCGGCUCCAUCCAUCUAGCCAAAUCAAGUUGUAGUCGAAGGGUAAUUUCUCUCUUCUCUCCCUCUCUCUCUUCAUCUUUUCGUUAAAAUAACUCACUCUGUUUCAAUUUUGUUCUGCUCUGUUUCUCUUCUUGUUUCCUACAAUGUAACCGGGGUAUUCGAAGGAGCAUUUUUGGCUUAUUGCUAGUAGUGCCUCCUCUGCGACUGACUCUGUCGAUGAUGAGCUGCUUAAAAAGAAAAAAAAAGUUAAUAGAUCUCUUAGUAGAUCAACAUAUAAGUGUAUUAUACAAAUAUAUAUAUGAACUGAUAUAAUAUCAUACAAACAGAGUUUUUUGUUUGAGCUUUGGAUUAAUUGCCUUAGAUUGAAGAAAUCUAUCUCGGUUUGUCUAUGUAUCUAUAUCUAUCUCAUUAGGAGGUGCAAAAUUAAUUUAUGAGAAAAGACUAAAAAAUGAAUAACAUAUGUAUAUUCUAUAUACACAAGUCAAAUGGUUGAUAAUUUGGAUUUGGUUGAUAAUUUGGGAUCUAUUUGAAUUAAUCCAAUAGUUGAGAUUUCACUUGAGAUUAUUUUUUUUUAAAAAAAAUAUCACUUUCUUUUUCUCAAAGGUGUGGGAUGGUUCACGUGGGUUGUGAUCCAAUGGCUAAAAACUCCUAAAAACUUGGCAUAUUUUGAACUUAUUUAAUAAUUUUUUAGUGGAUCUUACACCCAAAAGAACGAAAACACCAUUUUUUUUCUUCAUUUCUCUCAAAGUAGCAAUAUUUUUUUAAAAUCACUAUAUUUUUUAAUUUGUUCUCUAUUUUGUAGUAAUGUAUCUCUUCGUAUAUAUAUACAAUAUAUCUCUUAUUUCACUUUUAUAUUUUAUCUUAUUUUGUAAAAUUUCAAGUUUUUUUAUUUUUAUUUUUUUAUGCCGAAUUUUUUAUCAUAAUUUUUAAUUAAAAAUUAAAUUAUCCUUGUAUGUAUCCAAAUUCAUUUUUUACUCGUACCGGAUUUUACUACCUAUCAUUCUCUCACUUGACGAUGAGAAAAUAUAUAUAUAAAAAAUUUUAAAAACAAAAAUUUUAGCUAAUUAAUCGAGUAACAAUACCAAUAAAUGUAGUAUUGUAGGAAAUUACUGGGAAGUCUACGUGAUAUUGACUGUCACAAAGUCGACUACGAGUGCAAGGGUGAAUACAGCAACUAGAACGUGUGACCCCCACAUUUCUGUGUCAGAUUUCCUGUUUAGGGACUUCCAAUCUGACUUUAUUUGACACCACACCUGAUCCCCUCCCCCCCCCUAUCACCUCACGACCUCCCCUUUCUUUCUUCACCAUAUACUCUCCUCCCACCGUCUAACCUAUCCUCCAGACCCCCCGCUGCGUUCCCCCCCCUGCCCGCUCGGUUCCCCCUCACUCCUUUACCCUCACUCCAUCCCCCCCACCCCCCCAUCCCCUCGCCCAACCCCGGCACACCUCCCCGCAUCCCCCCCCCCAUCAUCUUUAUCCCCGCCCCAGGCCCACUCCCCUCUCUAAGUCCGGCCCAAUCGGCAUCCGCUACUGUCGUCUUUUUCACUCACCCCCAAAAAAUUAUCCUUUUUUCAUUCUUUCUCGAGAAAUAAAAUCUUAUAGUUUUUACGUCUUAAAAUUUAAUACGGUACUAUUAAAGACAAUUCCCCCUCCCCCCCCCCCCCCACCCCCCCCCCCCUCCCCCCCCCGCCCCCCCCCCCCCCCCUUCAAUUUUUAUCUACUAGAAUUGAAAACACAAUGUUUCACCAAAAAUUGAAAAAUUGAUAUCGGCGCUCAACCAAAAACUUUUUAAAGGGAAAAAAACACACGAUCGGUGUGUUUUUCAAAAUAAUUUUUAUCAAAGAACCAAAUGAUAUCGUUAACCAAUUGAAAAUUGUUGAAAUGGGCUGACAGAAUUCAUUGAAUAGUACUGAAACAUAUGAAAAUCCCGUAUAAAUAUUCAUGAAAAGUAUUCAUUCAUCAAAACAAUUUACAUAGAACUCUCCACUCAUCAUAAAUGCUUCCCCAUUGCAGGACACCUGAAGAAGAAGAAGAAGAAGAAGAAGAAGAAGAAAUUAACAAAGAAAGGGUCGAAUGGGCCAAGCUCUCUCCAACAUCGUAACCACUCUAUGCGGCGACACAAGCCAAGAUGAAUUCCAAAGCCUAACUAGGCCAUCACACACCCACAUUUUUCCCCAAUGCCAAGGCCCACAAUUAAUCCCAACCCCACUGAGUUGGUCACGCGGCUCAGACUCGUCCACCCACCCGGUCACGAACUCUGUUACGAAUCGGAUAGUUCGGAAUC